UCUGAAACCACCAUCUCUGGUCUAUGGAACCACCUCUCUCUCUCUCUCUCUCAAAAAUACUCUCGCUUGCCUUUUCACGCACACGAGCACCUUCACCAUCAGCAGCGUCCUUCGCAACCACACCCUUCACCGCGACUGCGACUAACACCGACGACUACGACUAUCUAUUAAGUUCUCUCUCUCUCACUCGUUUGUUGCUCUCACUCUGCCCCUUUCCCUCUCCUUCUAAUUUUCAAAACCCUAACAAGUGAUUUUUGAAGGCUAGGGUUGGUCAAGGUCGUCUAUCUCCUAUGUGAUUUUGAUUUUGAUUUUGAUUCAAUUUGUUCAUUUCCAAGUUCUUUUUCUUUAAUUUAAUUUAUGUGCAAAUUAUGCACACCACCUGUUUGCUAAUAUGCCUCUGAAAAUAGAAAGUAUAAAAUCUGUUGGUGUCUCAACCAUGAAUAAAGAGGCAUUCUCACUACCAGCCACCAACAUUAAGCUAUAAAAUCUGGAAUAUAAAUUUAUACUCUGGGUCUAGUAACAUAUAAUGAACCUUACCAAGCUUAAACAAAAGAAAUAUAAUGCUGCUUUCAGAAGGUGUAGUAUAGCCAUCAGUUCAAGGUGGUGGUGAUUAUUAGGAAAUUGUUGAGACAUAGAAGGAGCUAGAAUUGAUUAGAAAGACCCAUAAAAUGUCUGCUAUCUUCUUUGAUAGUCAACUCAUUAAUUCCAUUAGUCCUGUAAAAAAAAUUUCCCUUUCUUUUUUUUUGUUUCUUAUUGAAAUAAUAUUGCAGUGUGCACCUUCUACCAGAAAGGAGUCUGUUCUUAUGGAAGCCAAUGCAGAUAUGAACAUGUUAAAGUUUUUCGAUCACAGUCCUCCACUGUAUCUUCUUCCACAAUUUCUCACCAAUUUUUGGUUUCUGAUUCAAUUUUUGGUCUCAUUCAUUCUGUAUAUCUUGUAUCAGGAAUUGGCAUGGCAGAGUAAUUCCUCAACCUCUGGAAUGGAUGCCAACUUUACAUUGAGGGCAUGCCCAAUAUGUAGAAAGGUUUCAUACUUUGUCAUUCCUAGUGUCAUUUGGUAUUCUACAAAAGAAGAAAAACAGGAAAUUGUUGACAGCUACAAAGCAAAACACAGAGCAGAUUUAACGGUUGAUUGCUUGUUUUGAAAUCCUCAUUGUGAUCCAAGUCAACCUUCCACUCAAAAGUAGAUUUUUUUGUGGGUUCUAUUCACAGAAGACAUAACUACCUUAAAUUGAAGUUUUGAACAGUUUUCAUGUCCAGUUGUUUUCGGCAAAAUGUCAAUUUUUGGGUAAAGCUUCUUGCCAUUGGUUGCUGAUAGAGGGGAGGAGAUUAGAAGUCGUGGAGAACAGACAUGGCCAUUUGCCUUUUACUGAGAAGCAAGUAGUCACUCCAACAGGUGUGUUUUAGGAGAAAAAUUAGUAGCAAGCCAUGGACUCAAUUCAAGUCUCUUCCUCUCUCUCUGAUGAAAUUUGGAAUACAAGUAGGCUACUUCCUUUUUAUCUCAAGUUUCCUUCAGUUCUCUGAAUUUAAACUGAGAACUUUACAUGCCUUCAAUUUUUAUUUGUUUGUGUUUUUUUACAUAUAUGAUUGUGUGUUUUCUCUUGCUAGCUUAUAAUUUAGUGUCUCCUGAUGGUGUCAAUUUUAUGAAAAGAUAUUCCUCUGCAUAUGGCUAAACUAGAUUUUUAAACUAGCUAUAAAUUGUUGGGAUUAACUUAUGCGGAGUAAUGACUGAUGACCGUGAAUGUUGUUUCAUUGGGGUGUGAUUCAUUCCUUUUUUGUCAUCUUUUUUGAAAGCAUGUAUUUCCUUCGCUUUUAGAAAGUGUACAUGAGAAUGAAAUAAUGUGGCCAGCUCACUUUUAGUCUUCUUACUCAUUUUCUUUCUUUCUUGUCGAAUAAUUUUGUAGUUUUCUGUGACAUCUAACAUUAACCAUUCAUGACAAAUUAGUGUUAACUUUAAACUUCAUUUAGAUAUUAACAUUUGGCAUCAUACUGUUCUCUUGUUUGUCUUUACUUUCAAUGUCAUAAAGAGGGAGUGCAUAUCCUUUUAUUGAAAAAGAAAACAGAAAAAAAAGGUAGUGGACUACUUACAUAUUUCUAUCUGCAGCAAAUUGGAACUGUUCACAUUUUUUUUCCCUUUUGGUACAUGUAACUGUUUUAUGUUGUAUUCUUAAGUUGCCUAUCCCAAAACAUAAAUUUGUUAAUUUGUUGGUAUACUA